GACGUACGGGAGUCGCCAAUGGGCCGCCUAUCGGUGGGGCUUGGGAAGGCGACGGCGUCGGCGGCGUCCGCGUUCAGGAGCAGGAGGCGCUUCGUGGAGGAAAGAGAGAAAGAGCGAGCAGCGCGACCUUCGCUCGCGGAGAGGGAGGCCAAAACGCGAGAGCACGUCGGCGUCGGGGUUGGCCAGUAAGGGCGCUCCGCAGAGAAAAGAGGGAGAAAGCGGAGCACAGGUCGCGAGAGGGCGGCGAAGGGGCGUCGGCGUCGGCGUCGGCCGCGUAGGCGGAGAAGUCGGCCUCGGAGUUGGGGGCGACGGAGGCAACCGGCGGAGGGGCGUCGGCGUCGCGAUUUGCUGGCAGAGAGGCGCGCCUUCGAGGACGAAAGAGAGAUAAAGCCGACCAGAGGUCACGAGAGGGAGGCGUAGGCUGCGUCGGCGUCGGCGUCGGCGUCGGCGUCGGGGGGGGGGGGGGGAGACGGAGGUGGAGGGCCGUCGAAGGGGGGAGAGAGAGAGAGCAGAGCGAACUUUAUGUUUUCCUCUGAACCGUCGCAAUUUUGUUCUCCCUCCCCGCAACGGAACGGAGAACGGGGAGAGAGAAAGAGAGGAGAGCAGAGGAGAGCAGAGCGUCAGAAGGUGCAGAGAGGUGGGCCAGGGAGAGAGGAGAGAGAGAAGCUCCCGCGCGCUGGUUCGAAACGGAGAGGUGGACGACGUGGACUGACAUCCGGACACGUGUCGCGCAAUGAAUGGUUCAGAGCACGAAUGACGUGGCACUGUUAAGGUACCCAAUAUUUUCU
rnacentral:lncRNA from 1 species